rnacentral:tRNA from 1 species
GGACCGUUAGCGCAGCUGGUAGCGCGUUUCCUCGACAUGGAAAAGGUCACUGGUUCGAUCCCAGUACGGUCCAC